UGUUUGCUUCUCGCUGUUAUCCCUCUCACCCCCUCCCCCCAAAGUUUCUGUGGUUUUCCUGUCCUGUUCGUCCUUCCUCAGCAGUCUAUCUGCCUUUCCCUCCCCCUCUGCUUCUCUCCCUUCUUCCAGCUUUGUUUCUGGGGUAGCUGGGAGAAGGGUUUUGUUUGAUGGAUCUAUUUGUAAUGGGUGAGGUCCACCUUUCAGCAGUGCCACUCUCCGCUCCAUCAGUUUAUUGUUAAGGGAUGGACCAUUUCAUCCAACCCAAAAUGCAUGAGAAAAAAGAUUUGCCCAGCUGGAGGCUAACAUGGCUGCUCCUGAGAUCUGGUCAUCAUCAGAGAAAGGAGCACUCCCUGCAUUGCAGAGUCCUAUGCUGCUGGUUUGCCCACCAGACUGCAGGACUUUCUUUUCACUGAAUGUUGAGGCUUAUACUCAUGGAGUAUCUCAAAGUUGGGAGAUCCUAGUGCAGGCACUACCAGAAUGGGAAGAUGGAGGAAGUAGAACAUGA
rnacentral:lncRNA from 1 species